UACAUGUGAAGAAGGAUCCUCUUCAAGACAGUAGCAACUUACUAGGAUUACUCAACCAAGUCUUGAUUUAGCAUCAAAAGGACACCCCAAAGCUCUCACCAGGUCUGCACGAAGAUCCACCAGAACUUUGACUCUGGCACAACUUGGCCGAGUCUUGUUGAUAGUGGCCUGAUCUAGUUGCAAAGGAAUACCUACUGCUGAAGCCAGGGAAAAGAGGGACUCCUUCUCGAAGAAUGUUGGUAGUAGAUUCGGAAAUGAAAUCCAUGCCAUGGAUCUCGAUGUUUCCUCCUCCACCCUAAACUUAGAAUCAUAGAUUAGAGUCCUCAUUAGAUAUGAAUAUCCUUCAUUGCAAGUUAUGUAAUAUACCCCUUUUGAUAUUAUGUUGAUAUAGUCCUCCAUAUAUGAGAGACGAAUCAGAACAUGUCGAUUCCGUAACAGGCCAACCAUGCACUCCCCCUUAAUUCCACACUGAGAUGGAAUUGCCUUUCUUAAAAACUCUAAAUCUGGCCAUCCAUAUGAAAAUUUGCCAAUGAUAGCAAAUUCCAGAUUCUGUUUGAUAUUCAUUCUUUCCACUUCUGAUUCGGUCCAUUUGAUCCUUGGUAUACCUUCAACUAUAGUCACUGGUUUUAUCAAAACUGGUUCUGUUUUUUUUGUUAUUGUA